UACGUAGGGUGCAGGCGUUAAUCGGAAUUACUGGGCGUAAAGCGUGCGCAGGCGGUUUCUUAAGUCAGAUGUGAAAGCCCCGGGCUUAACCUGGGAACUGCGUUUGAAACUGGGAGACUAGAGUGUGGCAGAGGGGGGUGGAAUUCCACGUGUAGCAGUGAAAUGCGUAGAUAUGCGGAGGAACACCGAUGGCGAAGGCAAUCCCCUGGGCCUGUACUGACGCUCAUGCACGAAAGCGUGGGGAGCAAACAGG
rnacentral:rRNA from 1 species